GACGUAGGGCGCGAGCGUUGUCCGGAUUUAUUGGGCGUAAAGAGCUCGUAGGCGGCUUGUCGCGUCGACUGUGAAAACCCGCGGCUUAACUGCGGGACUGCAGUCGAUACGGGCAGGCUAGAGUUCGGUAGGGGAGACUGGAAUUUACGGUGUAGCGGUGAAAUGCGUAGAUAUCGUAAGGAAGACCAGUGGCGAAGGCGGGUCUCUGGACAGUUCCUGACGCUGAGGCACGAAGGCCAGGGGAGCAAACGGG
rnacentral:rRNA from 1 species